rnacentral:lncRNA from 1 species
CUCUGAUUGGCUGGCCGGAGGCGGAGCGAUUGUCAGGCGGCCCAAUCGGAGCGUGGUUUCCCACGGGCUCCCGCGGCCCCGCCCCCACGGCCUCCGGUGGAGGCUCCCCUGGCAGCUCCCAUUGGCUGCCGGCGAGCGGUCCAGAGCUCGGCGGGGCACAUCUGCGCCGCCGCCGUCGGGCGCUCAGCUCUGCAGCGCGGAGAUCGCUUUGGAGCUCUCAGCUCCAGGGCCCCAGCGGCCCCGCAUUGUGCCCGGCGCGGGCGCGGGCGCGGGGAUCUGGGGCGGGCUUUGCAGACUCUGUGAGGCCCCGACCUGGGCUGGCAGGAGGGAGGAACCCGGCAGCUGGGCAGGGUGGCUGGUUGAUGGCUGCAUUCCAGAUGUUAACACUGUCAGAAGCUUGACUUCCAUGUGGUAUUAUGACAAGUACUGGAGAAGGCUUAUGAUCGCCCAGUGGAUGAGACAUGUAUCCGUGCAUACAUGGAUCUGUGCAUACAUGAAGACAGGACUGUAAGGCAGAAGGAGAAGUAUGCAAAACUUAGAAGAGAAAUGCCUGUUGUGUUAGGAUCUGCAGAGGGAGAUCUUUUCUCCUGAUCACUGCCAUAAAUAUUUGAAGAUGAGAUCGGGGUCCUCAAAUUAUUGUCUGCGGACCAAAUCCUGCAGGCUUUCUGGUUUUGUGCAAUCAUUGAAAUACAAAUACUUUUUAUAUUUUUAAAUGGCUGAGAAUUAAAAAAACCCCACAAGGGCAAUAUAGUCAUGUGCCACAAACCAUGUUUCAGUCAGUAAUGGGUCAUACAUUGUUCAGUGGCCCCAUAUAAGAUUUCGUUGUCUGCGAUGUUGUAGCUGGUUUAGUUUGUAUACAUACAUUCUAUGAUGUUUGUACAACGAUGAAGUAGCCUAACGAUGAGUUUCUCAAAAUGUAUCCCCCUCAUUAAGUGAUACACAGCUGUAAUAAUUUGUGCCCUGUGAAAAUAAUAUGAAUUUCAAAUUUCAGUGUUCACAAUAAAGUUUUAUUGG